AAAUGAAGAUUCACACAUUCCAUUGUCUCAGAAGAUGAACUCUUCUCUGGUACUAGUGAUUGUACUCUUGUUAAUGGUUGGAAAAAGCAAUGAAGACUCCGUGACUCAGAUGGAAGGUCAAGUGACACUCUCUGAAGGGACUCCUCUGACUGUGAACUGUUCCUAUGAAACCCAACAGUACCCAGCCCUGUUCUGGUACGUGCAGUAUCCCAGAGAAGGUCCACAGCUCCUAUUCAGAGUCUCGAAGGCCAUUGAGAAAGGAAGCAGCAGAGGUUUUGUAGCUACAUAUGACAGAGGAUCCAGUUCUUUCCACUUGCAGAAAGCCUCGGUCCAAGAGUCAGACUCGGCUGUGUGCUACUGUGCUCUGAGUGGCACAGUGUCAGAAGCCACAGGGGGAGAUGAGCACAAACUCUGAGAAGCAGGUCAUGCCUGCUGAGUGUGUCUGACACCUCUCAUUUAGGGACUAGGGGCAGGUCUGCUAUUGUUGCCGAUAACUGCACACACAGGCACUGCUGCAGUGUAAUCCAUGAAAAUUAACAUGAACAGCAUAUUAGGAGAACAGGAAGUGAGCAUGCCUUACUUUAGACUUGACAUGAAAGGGUCAAAGUAGUCACACAUCAAGGUGACUUCUUUUUUUGUUUUUGUUUUGUGAGAUGGUAUUUCUACGAGCCCAGGAGCCAGGCUGGCCUUGAAAUCUUCAUUAAGCUGAGGUUGGCUUUGAACUCCUAUUCUUUGAGGUUACACCUCAUGUGGGCUGGAGAUAUAGGCAUGAACCACCACACUAGAGUGAAUUUGUGAUUUCUUAAAUAUGAAAUCUCUUGUUGAAUGAAACUAUGUAUGUGUUUGUCAUCCCUUAGAAGUUUUAUUCCCUGAGCCAGACUCAUGUCAUUCACGAAAUUAUCAUGGAUUAUGAGGCUACACAUGCUCCUUAUUCCUCACAUGUUUUGGUAACUUAUUUGUUUUUCCUAAAGUUUCUUACAUUUGA